rnacentral:rRNA from 1 species
GGGUUGUGAGGUUAAGCGACUAAGCGUACACGGUGGAUGCCCUGGCAGUCAGAGGCGAUGAAGGACGUGCUAAUCUGCGAUAAGCGUCGGUAAGGUGAUAUGAACCGUUAUAACCGGCGAUUUCCGAAUGGGGAAACCCAGUGUGAUUCGUCACACUAUCAUUAACUGAAUCCAUAGGUUAAUGAGGCGAACCGGGGGAACUGAAACAUCUAAGUACCCCGAGGAAAAGAAAUCAACCGAGAUUCCCCCAGUAGCGGCGAGCGAACGGGGAGCAGCCCAGAGCCUGAAUCAGUGUGUGUGUUAGUGGAAGCGUCUGGAAAGGCGUGCGAUACAGGGUGACAGCCCCGUACACAAAAAUGCACAUACUGUGAGCUCGAUGAGUAGGGCGGGACACGUGGUAUCCUGUCUGAAUAUGGGGGGACCAUCCUCCAAGGCUAAAUACUCCUGACUGACCGAUAGUGAACCAGUACCGUGAGGGAAAGGCGAAAAGAACCCCGGCGAGGGGAGUGAAAAAGAACCUGAAACCGUGUACGUACAAGCAGUGGGAGCACGCUUAGGCGUGUGACUGCGUACCUUUUGUAUAAUGGGUCAGCGACUUAUAUUCUGUAGCAAGGUUAACCGAAUAGGGGAGCCGAAGGGAAACCGAGUCUUAACUGGGCGUUAAGUUGCAGGGUAUAGACCCGAAACCCGGUGAUCUAGCCAUGGGCAGGUUGAAGGUUGGGUAACACUAACUGGAGGACCGAACCGACUAAUGUUGAAAAAUUAGCGGAUGACUUGUGGCUGGGGGUGAAAGGCCAAUCAAACCGGGAGAUAGCUGGUUCUCCCCGAAAGCUAUUUAGGUAGCGCCUCGUGAAUUCAUCUCCGGGGGUAGAGCACUGUUUCGGCAAGGGGGUCAUCCCGACUUACCAACCCGAUGCAAACUGCGAAUACCGGAGAAUGUUAUCACGGGAGACACACGGCGGGUGCUAACGUCCGUCGUGAAGAGGGAAACAACCCAGACCGCCAGCUAAGGUCCCAAAGUCAUGGUUAAGUGGGAAACGAUGUGGGAAGGCCCAGACAGCCAGGAUGUUGGCUUAGAAGCAGCCAUCAUUUAAAGAAAGCGUAAUAGCUCACUGGUCGAGUCGGCCUGCGCGGAAGAUGUAACGGGGCUAAACCAUGCACCGAAGCUGCGGCAGCGACGCUUAUGCGUUGUUGGGUAGGGGAGCGUUCUGUAAGCCUGUGAAGGUGUGCUGUGAGGUAUGCUGGAGGUAUCAGAAGUGCGAAUGCUGACAUAAGUAACGAUAAAGCGGGUGAAAAGCCCGCUCGCCGGAAGACCAAGGGUUCCUGUCCAACGUUAAUCGGGGCAGGGUGAGUCGACCCCUAAGGCGAGGCCGAAAGGCGUAGUCGAUGGGAAACAGGUUAAUAUUCCUGUACUUGGUGUUACUGCGAAGGGGGGACGGAGAAGGCUAUGUUGGCCGGGCGACGGUUGUCCCGGUUUAAGCGUGUAGGCUGGUUUUCCAGGCAAAUCCGGAAAAUCAAGGCCGAGGCGUGAUGACGAGGCACUACGGUGCUGAAGCAACAAAUGCCCUGCUUCCAGGAAAAGCCUCUAAGCAUCAGGUAACAUCAAAUCGUACCCCAAACCGACACAGGUGGUCAGGUAGAGAAUACCAAGGCGCUUGAGAGAACUCGGGUGAAGGAACUAGGCAAAAUGGUGCCGUAACUUCGGGAGAAGGCACGCUGAUACGUAGGUGAAGCGACUUGCUCGUGGAGCUGAAAUCAGUCGAAGAUACCAGCUGGCUGCAACUGUUUAUUAAAAACACAGCACUGUGCAAACACGAAAGUGGACGUAUACGGUGUGACGCCUGCCCGGUGCCGGAAGGUUAAUUGAUGGGGUUAGCGCAAGCGAAGCUCUUGAUCGAAGCCCCGGUAAACGGCGGCCGUAACUAUAACGGUCCUAAGGUAGCGAAAUUCCUUGUCGGGUAAGUUCCGACCUGCACGAAUGGCGUAAUGAUGGCCAGGCUGUCUCCACCCGAGACUCAGUGAAAUUGAACUCGCUGUGAAGAUGCAGUGUACCCGCGGCAAGACGGAAAGACCCCGUGAACCUUUACUAUAGCUUGACACUGAACAUUGAGCCUUGAUGUGUAGGAUAGGUGGGAGGCUUUGAAGUGUGGACGCCAGUCUGCAUGGAGCCGACCUUGAAAUACCACCCUUUAAUGUUUGAUGUUCUAACGUGGACCCGUGAUCCGGGUUGCGGACAGUGUCUGGUGGGUAGUUUGACUGGGGCGGUCUCCUCCUAAAGAGUAACGGAGGAGCACGAAGGUUGGCUAAUCCUGGUCGGACAUCAGGAGGUUAGUGCAAUGGCAUAAGCCAGCUUGACUGCGAGCGUGACGGCGCGAGCAGGUGCGAAAGCAGGUCAUAGUGAUCCGGUGGUUCUGAAUGGAAGGGCCAUCGCUCAACGGAUAAAAGGUACUCCGGGGAUAACAGGCUGAUACCGCCCAAGAGUUCAUAUCGACGGCGGUGUUUGGCACCUCGAUGUCGGCUCAUCACAUCCUGGGGCUGAAGUAGGUCCCAAGGGUAUGGCUGUUCGCCAUUUAAAGUGGUACGCGAGCUGGGUUUAGAACGUCGUGAGACAGUUCGGUCCCUAUCUGCCGUGGGCGCUGGAGAACUGAGGGGGGCUGCUCCUAGUACGAGAGGACCGGAGUGGACGCAUCACUGGUGUUCGGGUUGUCAUGCCAAUGGCACUGCCCGGUAGCUAAAUGCGGAAGAGAUAA